CCUACGGGAGGCAGCAGUGAGGAAUAUUGGGCAAUGGACGAGAGUCUGAACCAGCCAAGUAGCGUGAAGGAUGACUGCCCUAUGGGUUGUAAACUUCGUUUAUAUGGGAAUAAAAUGUUCCACGUGUGGGAGUUUGUAUGUACCAUAUGAAUAAGGAUCGGCUAACUCCGUGCCAGCAGCCGCGGUAAUACGGAGGAUCCGAGCGUUAUCCGGAUUUAUUGGGUUUAAAGGGAGCGUAGGUGGAUUGUUAAGUCAGUUGUGAAAGUUUGCGGCUCAACCGUAAAAUUGCAGUUGAAACUGGCAGUCUUGAGUACAGUAGAGGUGGGCGGAAUUCGUGGUGUAGCGGUGAAAUGCUUAGAUAUCACGAAGAACUCCGAUUGCGAAGGCAGCUCACUGGACUGCAACUGACACUGAGGCUCGAAAGUGUGGGUAUCAAACAGGAUUAGAUACCCCUGUAGUC
rnacentral:rRNA from 1 species